rnacentral:rRNA from 1 species
GACGAACGCUGGCGGCGUGCUUAACACAUGCAAGUCGAACGGAAAGGCCCUGCUUUUGUGGGGUGCUCGAGUGGCGAACGGGUGAGUAACACGUGAGUAACCUGCCCUUGACUUUGGGAUAACUUCAGGAAACUGGGGCUAAUACCGGAUAGGAGCUCCUGCUGCAUGGUGGGGGUUGGAAAGGUUCGGCGGUUGGGGAUGGACUCGCGGCUUAUCAGCUUGUUGGUGGGGUAGUGGCUUACCAAGGCUUUGACGGGUAGCCGGCCUGAGAGGGUGACCGGCCACAGUGGGACUGAGAUACGGCCCAGACUCCUACGGGAGGCAGCAGUGGGGAAUAUUGCACAAUGGGCGGAAGCCUGAUGCAGCAACGCCGCGUGCGGGAUGACGGCCUUCGGGUUGUAAACCGCUUUCGCCUGUGACGAAGCGUGAGUGACGGUAAUGGGUAAAGAAGCACCGGCUAACUACGUG